UACUAUCAAUAGUAUUAUACCCUACCACCACUUUAUACACAUAUAUACCAAAAUAAAUAAUUCUAAUAUAAUAUUGAAACAAAAUAUUAAAAUAUAAUAAAUCAACUAUACUACUAAUCCAAUAUAAUAUCUCAAAUAUAAUAUAAUUUCUAUUCUAAUAACUAAAAUACUUUCAUCUACUCAUAAAUGCUACAUCAAUUGAAGGCAGCUUCUAUUUCCUGUGUACUUUAGACAGAAAAAUGCUAUAUAUGUUGGAUCGAGUUGAAGCAAUAUUCCGAGUCGACAUCACGAUUAAAUAUCGAAGAAAAUAGGUUACUGGAGGCAUGUUCCAGAACCUAACUUGUAGGUUCUAGAACUCUAUCAUGUUUUGAAAACUAUGGUAAUUCCUGAAAAAUCAGAAGAUAUUGAAAUUAGGCUGGAGGCUGAUGUUCCAAAAUAUGAGAUUCUGAGACGUUUUAUUU
rnacentral:lncRNA from 1 species